rnacentral:rRNA from 1 species
AUUGAACGCUGGCGGCAGGCCUGACACAUGCAAGUCGAGCGGAUGAAGGGAGCUUGCUCCUGGAUUCAGCGGCGGACGGGUGAGUAAUGCCUAGGAAUCUGCCUGGUAGUGGGGGAUAACGUCCGGAAACGGGCGCUAAUACCGCAUACGUCCUGAGGGAGAAAGUGGGGGAUCUUCGGACCUCACGCUAUCAGAUGAGCCUAGGUCGGAUUAGCUAGUUGGUGGGGUAAAGGCCUACCAAGGCGACGAUCCGUAACUGGUCUGAGAGGAUGAUCAGUCACACUGGAACUGAGACACGGUUCAGACUCCUACGGGAGGCAGCAGUGGGGAAUAUUGGACAAUGGGCGAAAGCCUGAUCCAGCCAUGCCGCGUGUGUGAAGAAGGUCUUCGGAUUGUAAAGCACUUUAAGUUGGGAGGAAGGGCAGUAAGUUAAUACCUUGCUGUUUUGACGUUACCAACAGAAUAAGCACCGGCUAACUUCGUG